GCAAGUCGAACGAGAACGGGAUUGCUUGCAAUCCUCAGUAAAGUGGCGCACGGGUGAGUAACACGUGGAUAACCUACCUAAGGUUCUGGAACAACAUUGCGAAAGCGAUGCUAAUACCGGAUGAAGUAUAUUAGUCUUCGGAAUUUUAUACGAAAGGGUGCCUCUAUUUAUAAGCAUCUGACAUUAGAUGGGUCCGCGGAUCAUUAGCUUGUUGGUGGGGUAAUGGCCUACCAAGGCUAUGAUGGAUAGCCGGUCUGAGAGGAUGGUC
rnacentral:rRNA from 1 species